rnacentral:rRNA from 1 species
AACAAACGCUGGCGGCGUGCCUAAUACAUGCAAGUCGAACGGGGAAAGCUUUCGGGUGAGUACUAGUGGCGCACGGGUGAGUAACGCGUGGAUAAUCUGCCUUGAAGAGGGGGAUAACCAGUCGAAAGAUUGGCUAAUACCGCAUAAGACCACAGGAACUGAGGUUCUAGAGGUCAAAGGUUUUUCGCUUCAAGAUGAGUCCGCGUAAGAUUAGCUAGUUGGUGAGGUAACGGCUCACCAAGGCGACGAUCUUUAACUGGUCUGAGAGGAUGAUCAGCCACACUGGAACUGAGACACGGUCCAGACUCCUACGGGAGGCAGCAGUAGGGAAUAUUGCACAAUGGAGGAAACUCUGAUGCAGCGACGCCGCGUGAGUGAUGAAGGCCUCCGGGUCGUAAAGCUCUGUCGCAGGGGAAUAACACAAUGAAGGUACCCUGUAAGAAAGGAUCGGCUAACUUCGUGCCAGCAGCCGCCGUAAGAC